GUCACAUGGAUGGAAGAAGGCUGGCCUUGGGCAUAAACCUAGUCUUUGAUUAUGCAAGGGGCAAUCUGCCUCUGCAAGUGGUGGGGAGAUGAGUUUCCAGGACAGAAGGGCUGCUGAAGGCAGGCAACCCAGGGGAGCUGGGAUCUGCAUGAAAGAGGUAAUGAUUCAACCCUCAAAACUGAACAAUCAUGAGAGAUAUGAUGUAUUCAUUGACUGAGGUUACUUAUACCAAGCUGAGAGAAAAGAAAAGGGGACCCUGAAAAGUGUGUGUUGAUUCCAAGAUAUGUUGAAAGAAGAUGAGAGAAAGAAGAACUAGUGGAAUGACA